rnacentral:rRNA from 1 species
UGGGGAAUAUUGGACAAUGGGCGCAAGCCUGAUCCAGCAAUGCCGCGUGUGUGAAGAAGGCCUUCGGGUUGUAAAGCACUUUUAUCAGGAGCGAAACGCUGUCGGCUAAUACCCGGCGGAACUGACGGUACCUGAGGAAUAAGCACCGGCUAACUUCGUGCCAGCAGCCGCAGUAAUACGAAGGGUGCAAGCGUUAAUCGGAAUUACUGGGCGUAAAGCGUGCGUAGGCGGUUUCUUAAGUCUGCUGUGAAAUCCCCGGGCUCAACCUGGGAAUGGCAGUGGAUACUGGGAGGCUAGAGUGUGUCAGAGGGUGGUGGAAUUCCCGGUGUAGCGGUGAAAUGCGUAGAGAUCGGGAGGAACAUCAGUGGCGAAGGCGGCCACCUGGGACAACACUGACGCUGAGGCACGAAAGCGUGGGGAGCAAACAGGAUUAGAUACCCUGGUAGUCCACGCCCUAAAGCGAUGCGAACUGGAUGUUGGUCUCAACUCGGAGAUCAGUGUCGAAGCUAACGCGUUAAGUUCGCCGCCUGGGGAGUACGGUCGCAAGACU